rnacentral:rRNA from 1 species
AUGAACGCUAGCGACAGGCCUAACACAUGCAAGUCGAGGGGCGAGCACAAGGAGCAAUCUGAGUGGCGACCGGCGCACGGGUGAGUAACACGUAUGCAACCUGCCUGUAAGCGGGGAAUAACCCGUUGAAAGACGGACUAAUACCGCAUAAUACUAAAUUACUGCAUGGUAAUUUAUUUAAACAUUUAUGGCUUACAGAUGGGCAUGCGCAUGAUUAGCUAGUUGGAGAGGUAACGGCUCCCCAAGGCAACGAUCAUUAGGGGUUCUGAGAGGAAGGUCCCCACACUGGUACUGAGACACGGACCAGACUCCUACGGGAGGCAGCAGUGAGGAAUAUUGGUCAAUGGACGAGAGUCUGAACCAGCCAAGUCGCGUGCAGGAAGAAUGUCCUAUGGAUUGUAAACUGCUUUUGCAGGGGAAUAAAGUGCAUCACGUGUGAUGUUUUGUAUGUACUCUGCGAAUAAGGAUCGGCUAACUCCGUGCCAGCAGCUGC